rnacentral:rRNA from 1 species
GAAUCUUAGACAAUGGGCGCAAGCCUGAUCUAGCCAUGCCGCGUGAGCGAUGAAGGCCUUAGGGUUGUAAAGCUCUUUCACCGGGGAAGAUAAUGACGGUACCCGGAGAAGAAGCCCCGGCUAACUCCGUGCCAGCAGCCGCGGUAAUACGGAGGGUGCAAGCGUGAAUCGGAAUUACUGGGCGUAAAGGGCACGCAGGUGGCUUGGCGAGUCGGGUGUGAAAGCCCUGGGCUUAACCUGGGAAUUGCAUUCGAUACUGCCGAGCUAGAGUAUGGGAGAGGAAAGUGGAAUUCCCGGUGUAGCGGUGAAAUGCGUAGAUAUCGGGAGGAACAUCAGUGGCGAAGGCGGCUUUCUGGCCCGAUACUGACACUCAUGUGCGAAAGCGUGGGGAGCAAACAGG